rnacentral:lncRNA from 1 species
GUUCAUGUUGGGUUUGAGUUCAUGUAGCCUGUUAGGAUUAAUUUUAUUGUUUUUAUUAAAUAUUUUUUUAAUUCUUAUUUUGAAGUUAUGAUUAUUUUACUUUUUGGAGACCUUUUUUUUUCUUCUAAUUUCAUCCUUUGUUCCGUCAGCAACCAAUGCAAAAUUCAUGUUCUUUUUUUGUAUUUUAAUUCUUAUUUUUAUUGUAUUGCUAUCGAGUUGUGUUUAAUAAGGUUUUUACUUGAUUCUAUCGUUUUCGUGUCGCGUCAAAAUGAUUUAAAUCAUGUUGCUAUUGUUCUCGUGUUGUGUCUGUGUCAUGUUCGUGUAGAUAGUAUUAUGUUUGUGUUCGUGUC